AGUCGAGCGAGUCUGCCUUGAAGAUCGGAGUGCUUGCACUCUGUGAAACAAGAUACAGGCUAGCGGCGGACGGGUGAGUAACACGUGGGUAACCUGCCCAAGAGAUCGGGAUAACACCUGGAAACAGAUGCUAAUACCGGAUAACAACAGAUGAUGCCUAUCAACUGUUUAAAAGAUGGUUCUGCUAUCACUCUUGGAUGGACCUGCGGUGCAUUAGCUAGUUGGUAGGGUAACGGCCUACCAAGGCGAUGAUGCAUAGCCGAGUUGAGAGACUGAUCGGCCUCAUUGGGACUGAGACACGGCCCAAACUCCUACGGGAGGCAGCAGUAGGGAAUCUUCCACAAUGGACGCAAGUCUGGUGGAGCAACGCCGCGUGAGUGAAGAAGGGCUUCGGCUCGUAAAGCUCUGUUGUUGGUGAAGAAGGACAGGGGUAGUAACUGACCUUCGUUUGACGGUAAUCAAUUAGAAAGUCACGGCUAACUACGUGCCAGCAGCCGCGGUAAUACGUAGGUGGCAAGCGUUGUCCGGAUUUAUUGGGCGUAAAGCGAGUGCAGGCGGCUCGAUAAGUCUGAUGUGAAAGCCUUCGGCUCAACCGGAGAAUUGCAUCAGAAACUGUCGAGCUUGAGUACAGAAGAGGAGAGUGGAACUCCAUGUGUAGCGGUGAAAUGCGUAGAUAUAUGGAAGAACACCGGUGGCGAAGGCGGCUCUCUGGUCUGUUACUGACGCUGAGGCUCGAAAGCAUGGGUAGCGAACAGGAUUAGAUACCCUGGUAGUCCAUGCCGUANACGAUGAGUGCUAAGUGUUGGG
rnacentral:rRNA from 1 species